UUAAAGUUGAAGAAAAACAAGAGCGAGACAAGGAGAACUUUGCUUUUUUUUCUUUUAGUUUUCUGAUUUUUUUUUCUUUUUGUUUUUU
rnacentral:ribozyme from 13 species